rnacentral:rRNA from 1 species
UACGUAGGGUGCAAGCGUUGUCCGGAAUUAUUGGGCGUAAAGAGCUCGUAGGCGGUUUGUCGCGUCUGCUGUGAAAACUCGGGGCUUAACUCCGGGCCUGCAGUGGGUACGGGCAGACUAGAGUGCGGUAGGGGAGACUGGAAUUCCUGGUGUAGCGGUGAAAUGCGCAGAUAUCAGGAGGAACACCGGUGGCGAAGGCGGGUCUCUGGGCAUUAACUGACGCUGGGGAGCGAAAGCAUGGGGAGCGAACAGG